rnacentral:misc_RNA from 1 species
CCGAUCCCGGUCCCUUAGAUAUAUCAAGACUUUUAAGAGAUUUAACUACAGUUUGUCGGUCAAUGGCUAUACUGGAAAUUGAAUCAAAGUGAUUCGAUAACAAUUUAGAAAACAAGGAAGAUGAACCCUGGGAUUGACUAGAUGGAUUAUAUACAGAAGAAAAGUAGCUACCAAACAUGUUACAAAUAUCACGUCCAUUGCUUGCCACAUCAUCGCCAUGCAUAAAAUGAUUUCAAGAGGAGGAUGAUAGGAAUCGAUUUUGCAAAGACCAGCUAGAGCUUCAGUUACUUUACACACAGAUAAAUCAGUAAGGACCAAGUCAAGAAUCCUACCCAUGCC